GAUAAAUCAAAAAUGAAAUUUGACCAUUCUUUAAACCAACUCCAAAAUUUAAAACCCUAACGCCACGUUUGGUUGGGGUCAUUCCCUUCCCAACUUGUUCUUGGAUGAAUAGUAAUGCUUUUGUUUGGUUCACCGUUUCUUCAUUCUACCGAAUUACUUAAAGCAUUUCUAUUCCCUCAAAUGCGUAAUGGGAUUCAGUGCUGAAAGCUUUGAAUUACUAUUCCGACCAUCGCCGAAUAGAAAUGAAGAAAAUUCUUCCCAAAAUCUCCUUCACACUUUCCCUGCAAAUGCAUUCAAAGUUGCUUCUUUUAUCACAACGAUACACUUUUUGGUUAACAGAUUUUUCUUUUCAAGUUUAACUUCGUUUGGUUUCUGUUCCUGUAAUAAUCAAAUUUUGUUUUAGAAGGGUUUUUGGUAAUGGGUUUUCUUUAAAUUUUCUAGAAAAUUAGCUACAACUCAACUCCCAAAUCUUUGUCUUUUGGGGGAGAUGAUAUUUCGUUUUCUCUUAUGGGAAACCUACGGACUAGAAUUGAAUUGCAGAGAGUCAAUCGUAAUCACCAUAUCGAUUUCUAUCUCUUAAUCCUUGUUUUAUUUUUUGGAUUUUGCCGCUGGAGACGGAAAAAAAUAAAUUAAUUAAUGGAGGCGAUAACUCAAAAUUUGAUGAAUUUAUAUUGUUUGUAAUACUUAUGCAUAUCCCUUUUGCAAUAUUUGUCGUUCUUUUUAAUCAGAGUUUUAUUCCCAAAUUUCUUAUUGAUAAUCACUUAGUUUUCAUUAUUGUAUUUUACAGUAUUUCAGAUUUGUUUUAGGUUUGGAGAUAUGGUGCAACAGACGAAAAAGUAUUAAAUAUACGUUAUAGUGCUUUGGAGUAGAUACAAAUUGAUGUCCAGAUACUAGAGGGUCAAAUGGAAACAAAAGUUCCGCUAGCGAGCAGUAUAGAUGGCUCCUUGAGGUAUAAAUGGAGUUGGAAAUAGAUUAUCUGCAUCCUCUUCCAAUCUCUUAAAGGUUGGAAGUGAACGCCAUUUUGACGAUGGGAUCACACGCAUUCCAGAUCAUGUUUGGCCUUCCACCAAAGCGGAUGUGGAGAGUGAUGAAACACCUCCGUAUGUCUCGAGGUCUGCAGCUGCUACACUUCAUAUGCCGUCAAGAAUAUCUUCUAUAAGAUUGUUUGAAAAGCAAUCUUUUUCUACAAACAAUGAUGAUUCCAAGUUUCAAUGCUCACUGUAUCCUUCAGUGAUCACUUAUCUUGACAAGUUCUUAAAUAUAAUGAAGACAUUAAUUUCUGAAAUCUUCAUCUUCUCUGUGAUUUGGAUAGCCUAUAGUUAUGUGGUUUAUGGGGCAUGGAAUCUCAAUUUGCCUAAUGGAUGUGCUAUCUAAUUCAUGGUUUAUAUGAUUUAAUAUGCUUAAUUCUUCGCUCCUGCCAUAAAUUCCUUAGAUUUUCUUAUUUAUUAUGUUUACGUGCCAAUUUGGCCUGACAAAAUGUGUUUUGACUUGUGUUCCCGAAACAAUAUCCAUACCACUUUUGGCAUCUUGGAGGGACUGAAGCAUGGUGACCAAAGCUUUAGAAAUGAGACAUUUUGUUGUUGUAAUGAUCACCUUUGAGAAAAGUGCCUUGAGUUGGGAUGUCCAAUAUCCUAAGGUUCGGAUGUGGAUACUUAAAUAGUCAUCUCCAAGAGCUGAAGUGAUGGAGAAGGGAUGCCUGAGAAUCAGAAUCACUAAUGUGUCAUUAGUACUGUCAUUAGAUCAUUGAACUCAGGGAAUUACAUGAUUAUUGGUUACUAUUUCUUUUCCAUUUAACCGGGGAGACAUCAGCACUGUUCGCAAAGAUAUGUUGGCCACUAUUAUACUUAAAUCCUUGAAUCUUAGACAUAUGCAAGGAAAAUACAUUUCCAGGGUAGACAGCAACCUGAGUUAUAAGCAGAACUGGAUGCUAUAUGUAUAUGGUACCUGCGUGUCUGUAUGAAUGUGUAUGUGAUUUCUAACUUUUGAUCCCAAGUUGAAAAGGGAUUGUAUAAUUGUGUAAUUGGAUGCUAAUGAGAUCAUGUAACUUUUUGUUAAUGAAUGAAUAUUAUGUUUAGAUAUAAAA